AACUCCUGACCUCAGGUGAUCCGCCCUCCUGGGCCCCCCAAAGUGCUGGGAUUACAGGUGUUAGCCCGUGCCCAGCCAAUUUACUAGAUUUCUUAAGCAUAAAAUAUUAUCUAAUAAUAUGUAUAUGUAUGUCCACUACAUGGGAUUUUUAAAAAGUUUAGAUUUUGUGAUCUGCAGAACUGUAGGCAACAGUUCUUAAAAAUAAGAAAGGCUGAGUUCAGAGUUUUAGUCAUGGGUGACCCUAUAAAUUGCAAUUUCUUUUUCUCCCUAAAGGGUUUUCUUUCACUAUUACAUGUUUGUGUUUUCCUGAUUCCACUCAUGCUACUGUUAGGUGUUGGAUCAUCUUACCUAUAGCGUCAAUACAAAGUUCAUUUGUAAAAACUGUUCCGUUUAUUUUCUCCCAGCUGUUUCAUCUGAGAAUUUUGUUUGAAUUUCAGUUGCCAAAUGUAGUUUAAUCGGUUACUCUAAAUAGAAAGGUUAUUGCAAUUUUCACAAACUAGGGGAAAUAUAAAUUUAUCUUAAGUUUAUGAACAUUUUUAUAUUCCUGUGGGGACAACUAAGCACAGUAUGUAUAAUUUAAUAUCUCUGUUGGCAUUUGUUCUAAGUUAAAUUUAUUUGCUGUAUUGUUAAAAUCAAUGUAGUAAGGUGUACAGUCUUUUAAAAACAAAUCUGUUUCUCUGUGGAAUAUUUUUCAAAAGGACCUGAAAAACAUGCUCUUAAAUAGAUGGAGUGGAAAUUUUACUAUUAAAGUGAAUGUAUAGUUAAAUGUGUGAUACUGGUAUUGUUUUGAUUGUUUUUAUUUUACAUGUGAGGAUUUUUUACAUGUUUCUGUGGAACUACUUUUAAGUAGGUUUUAAUUUUGAUUUAUAAACAAGCUUCUCUAAAAGAAAAAAGUUGUUUUGUUCUUCGUGAUUAUAUGGUAGUCCUCAGACUUUUGUAGUUGAAAGAAGUAGAAAUGAGUGAUUUAUUAAGCUGUUUAUGUAAAAUGACUAGUUGGAGCAGGUGAUGUAAUUUAUUUUUACUAUAAUGUGCAGAGAUGUCUUUAUCC
rnacentral:lncRNA from 1 species